rnacentral:rRNA from 1 species
GAUGAACGCUGGCGGCGUGCCUAAUACAUGCAAGUCGAGCGAACGGACGAGAAGCUUGCUUCUCUGAUGUUAGCGGCGGACGGGUGAGUAACACGUGGAUAACCUACCUAUAAGACUGGGAUAACUUCGGGAAACCGGAGCUAAUACCGGAUGAUAUUUUGAACCGCAUGGUUCAAAAGUGAAAGACGGUCUUGCUGUCACUUAUAGAUGUAUCCGCGCUGCAUUAGCUAGUUGGUAAGGUAACGGCUUACCAAGGCAACGAUGCAUAGCCGACCUGAGAGGGUGAUCGGCCACACUGGAACUGAGACACGGUCCAGACUCCUACGGGAGGCAGCAGUAGGGAAUAUUCCGCAAUGGGCGAAAGCCUGACGGAGCAACGCCGCGUGAGUGAUGAAGGUCUUCGGAUCGUAAAACUCUGUUAUUAGGGAAGAACAUAUGUGUAAGUAACUGUGCACAUCUUGACGGUACCUAAUCAGAAAGCCACGGCUAACUACGUG